rnacentral:tRNA from 1 species
UGGCUGAGAUGAUAAAGAAUCUGCCUGCAAUGCAGGAGACCCAGGUUCAAUCCCUGG